UGGCGGCGUGCUUAACACAUGCAAGUCGAACGGUAAGGCCUUUCGGGGUACACGAGUGGCGAACGGGUGAGUAACACGUGGGUGAUCUGCCCUGCACUUUGGGAUAAGCUUGGGAAACUGGGUCUAAUACCGAAUAGGACCAUGGACUUCACGGUUUGUGGUGGAAAGCUUUUGCGGUGUGGGAUGGGCCCGCGGCCUAUCAGCUUGUUGGUGGGGUAAUGGCCUACCAAGGCGACGACGGGUAGCCGGCCUGAGAGGGUGACCGGCCACACUGGGACUGAGAUACGGCCCAGACUCCUACGGGAGGCAGCAGUGGGGAAUAUUGCACAAUGGGCGCAAGCCUGAUGCAGCGACGCCGCGUGAGGGAUGACGGCCUUCGGGUUGUAAACCUCUUUCAGCACAGACGAAGCGCAAGUGACGGUAUGUGCAGAAGAAGGACCGGCCAACUACGUG
rnacentral:rRNA from 1 species